CAUGUGGAUUAUGUAUUAAUAUUCUAGUUUUCAAUGAUAAAGGUUUAUUUUCACAUUGUUCACAGAUUUAUUCUUGGCAUCGACUAGAAUUCCUUCAGGAGAACCAGCUGUCACAAUAUGAUUAGAGGCCUUGCUCAGUAACCUGUGAGUACUCACCCUGAGCAGACAGUCUCCAUGCAGCAGUUUGUUAGCAGUGCAAUCCUGCUGUGGCAAGCACUUAAAUCAACAUUCUAUGGUGGAUCUUUGAUGCCUCUCCAUGAUCCUACUGCUGGUUAGUCUGACCACAACAAGAACUGUUACUCACCCACCUGCUAUUCAACGCUGUUUAAUAAUUCAUCCAUGACAUCAAAACGUUCAAGCAUGCAUUCUUAGGAAGCAAAUUCGCUUCCUGAAAUAAAGCAA